rnacentral:miRNA from 1 species
UAAGAAGAAGAAGAAGAAAG